UUUUAUCCCUUUAGAUCCCAUUCUGUCCCCAUUAGAUCCUAUUCUGACCCCAUUAGAUCCCAUUUUGACCCAUUAUAUCCCAUUUGAUCCUAUUAUGUCCCAUUUUAUCCCCAUUUUGACCCAUUUUGUCCCAUUUUGACCCAUUUUAUUCCAUAUCCCCAUUCAUUUCCUCCCAUUCAAUCCUAUUACUCCCCAUUACCCCCCAUUGCCUCCUAUUGAAUCCCAUUACCCCCCAUUACCCCGCAUUGCUUCCUAUUACCCCCCAUUGCCCCCCAUUGCCUCUCAUUACCCCCCCAUUACAUCCCAGAACCCCCCAUUACCUCCUAUUACCCCCAAUUGCCAAUUAUUAUUAGUCUAAUUAUUAUUAUUAUUAUAAUUAAUAUCAUUAUUAUUAUUCUUAUUAUUCUUACUUUUAUUACGGCCCCCCUGAUUGGAUCCCUUAAGCCACGCCCCCCACUGAGUCCCUCCUCCUGAUUGGCCCCCUGAAGCUCCGCCCCCUCAUUAAUCCCCGCCCCCUGAUUGGUCGGUUCCAGCACGGCCGCUUGAAGCUCCGCCCCCCGGAUGAGAAGCGACGGCGGCAACGGGAGGAAAAGCCUCUGCCUGCAGGGGGCGCUGCACGCGUUACAUCGCAGCCAAUCAGAGCACUGCGAGCGACUCUGCCGUGCUCUCAUUGGUCUGUUGCUGCCAUCUGACCACGCCCCCGAUGAGAGGUCCAUUCAAUCCUCCAGGAACUAUGGGGUCCCGCUAUGGGGCAGCCCCUGACCCACGGUCACCAUGGGGUCCUAUUAUCCCUAAUGGCCGCCUGCCUGCAAUACCCCGAGCUCCAGCAGGGGGCGCUAACGAGUCUAUUGCAGGUAAGCCACGCCCCCUUCCCUUAAGCCACGCCCCCUUCUAAUAAGCCACGCCCCUUCCAAUAAGCCACGCCCCCUUUAAGCCAUGCCCCUUCCCAUAAGCCACGCCCCUUUCCAUAAGCCACGCCCCUCCCUUAUUAAGCCACGCCCUCUUCCCUUAAGCCACACCCCCUUCUAUAUUAAGCCACGCCCCUCCCUUAUUAAGCCACGCCCCUUAUUAAGCCACGCCUCCUCCCUUAAUUAGCCGCGCCCCCUUCCUUAUUAAGCCACGCCCCUNUCCUAUUAUCCCUAAUGGCCGCCUGCCUGCAAUACCCCGAGCUCCAGCAGGGGGCGCUAACGAGUCUAUUGCAGGUAAGACACGCCCCCUUCCCUUAAGCCACGCCCCCUUCCCCACAAGCCACGCCCAUUCACACAAGCCACGCCCCUUCCAUAAGCCAUGCUCCUUAUUAAGCCACGCCCCCUUCCCUUAAGCCACGCCCCCUCUUCAUAAGCCACGCCCCCUUCCCAUAAGCCAUACCCCCUCCCUUAUUAAGCCACGCCUCUUCCAUAAGCCACGCCCCUUCCUUAUUAAGCCACGCCCCUUCCCAUAAGCCAUACCCCCUUCCUUAUUAAGCCACGCCCCCUUCCCAUAAGCCACGCCCCUUCCUUAUUAAGCCACGCCCCUUCCCAUAAAGCCACGCCCCCUCCCUUAUUAAGCCACGCCCCCUUUCCACAAGCCACACCCCCUCCUUUAAGCCCUGCCCCCUUUCUUAUUAAGCCACGUCCCCUCCUUUAAGCCCCACCCCCUUAAAGGGAUACACACACCCAAUUAAACCCCGUUCUAAUCUCUUAAAGAGACAGGCCCCCAUUUAAAGCGAAGCCCCCUCCCCAUUAAUUCUCCUCUUCUUUUCCCCCCCCCAUAGACUUUUAAU
rnacentral:lncRNA from 1 species